rnacentral:lncRNA from 1 species
UUUGUAGAACAUCUGUUUCAAAUGCCAAAAUCAUAUUAUUGUGUCAGCUCAGCCAAGUAAGUGGGAAGCAAAUUUCAAUUAAUAGUUAACUCAGAAUUCAUCUUCUUGAAAUGCAACCAACUAUGGUAUUCAAUAUAAAUCAUACUUCUUUAUCUAAUAAAUAGAAUCAAUGAUUUAACAACCAAAACUGAAAUAAUUAAAUAUUGAAAAAGAGAAGUUUAAAAUCAUUAGAUGCAUAAAUAAUAAUGAUAGAAAACCUUAUAAUAUAAGCAAAAGGCAAUAAAAGCAAGGACCAAAUAAUGAAUUCCAAUUCCUGUACAGCAUUAGUAAUCCACACUAAAAGCUUGUGUGGUUGGCUGCUUUCUAAUGAUUUCACUCUAAAGAAGUAUGUGUUGCCGCUGAAGAAUCAAGAGUUGACACUGAAGGAGCAAUUGGGCUACCUGAUAAUCAUUGUUGGUGACAUUGCCUUAAGUCCCUUGAAGCACUGCAUUUCAAGAUGGUUUUCAGGCAGGUGGUAUUGAUAGGUUUCUGGAGUCUAUUGAUAAUAAAUAGGAAGGGGGCCAAACUCUUAUGCUCGGUCCGUUUUAGGAGCAGAAUUACCAUGUACAUGGCAAAUUGGAGGGAUAGGGUUCUCAUUUUUGGGAUAGUUAAGGGAUCAACACUCCCUUCCAGUUUUCAUUAACAAUGCAUUCACCCUUGUUUAGAUAGGAAUCAGUCCUAUCAGUACAUUCCUCAUAAGACAAUUAGUACAGGGUGUAUCCCUCUGUGCCUUUGGCAACAAAGUGCGGUGAGGAGUAUAGGGUGUGUGCAAAAUCUCUAAAUUA